AGUAACGCCCCGCUGUCAAGGCGUGUAACGACGGUGCUGUCAUGGCUGUUGUUUUCAUCUUCUCUGCUAAAAAAUUGGUAUUAAUAAACAACGGAUGUUCGGUUCGUGGCUUUGCGAAUAAAUUCGGCUCGGCAUAUUUAAAUUGCACGGCCCCGUUGUUCUUACCAUAGCAUACCAAACUACCGACCCGCCAGCGCAUCGCACUGUGUUGCGUGUGAGGCAUUAACACAACAACUACAACAAC